GGAGAGAUGCCUGAGUGGUUGAAAGGGACGGUCUCGAAAACCGUUAUAUCGGGUAACCGAUAUCCAGGGUUCGAAUCCCUGUCUCUCCG
rnacentral:tRNA from 1 species